rnacentral:rRNA from 1 species
CCCUAGUAUUUUACUUUAAGUGAUUAGUAUAUAUUUGAAAUUUAAAAUUUUUGGCGGUUAAAUAUUAAUUUAGGGGAGUUUGUUUAGGAAUAGAAAUUACACUAUAAAUUUUGUUAAUUUUUGUUUAUUUAUCUCCGUUAUUAGGUGAGUAAUUUUAUAAAAAAAUAUUUUUUAUUUCAGGUCAAGAUGUAGCAAUAAUUUAAUAUAGAUUAACUACAAUUAUAAAAUUAAUGGAUAAGAUAUGAAAAUAAAUUGAAAGUGAACUUAGUUGUAAUAUGGUUUAAAAUAAAAAUAUGAAAUUUUAUAUUUAAUGUA